UUGUAGGAACAAAUAAGAUUAUUAAGGGCAUAUUCCCACUAGAUCUAAAAAGGUUACUAAUUCAUUAUAGACUAAUGAUAAUACCUAAGGGGAAACCCAUAUAAAUUAACUAGGUGAAUCGAAUCAACGGUGUAACCUAAGGAAUAUAAACCAACCGGGAUUUUAGUAGUAACGGUGAGUGAAACUAAAUAAGUCUAAAAUAAGUAAUCUGUGUAAAUAGAUGAAAAUAGGGGUGUAGCAACCUCUAAGACUAAAUAUUAGAUCUAAGUGAGAGUAGUACUGUGAAGGAAGGAUAUCCUAAUAGUAAUCUUAUGAGCAGACAGAGAUUUAAUUAAAAAUUAGAUUGAUGUUCGUACCUCUUGUAUAAUGGGCCAGCAAGUAUUGAUUAAUAGCAGAGAUACAAUGUAUCUAGUAUCAACGUAAUGGACAGAUAUACUUUAUUAUUAUUUAUAAUAUAAAUAUUAUAAAGGUAAGUUAUUAAUCAAUGGCCCGAAAGCGAGUGAUCUAUCCAUGGCCAGGAGAUAUACGUCCGAAUGAGUGGGUGUUGCAUUACCCUUCAAUGAGCUGUGGAUCGUAGGUGAAAGACAAAUCAGACUCGCAGAUAGCUGGUUUUCCACGAAAGGUAUCAUAGUACCGCCUAUACAUUUUAUUAUAAUAUAUAUUAUAAUAAAUAUUAAUUAAACAUGGUACAGCUACUAUAAUCCGUAUAUAUUUUAUAAUAUAUACUGUUUGGGGGACUAUUGAAGUUCUAUCAAGGAUUAUUGAACUCGGAAUGUGUUUACUUGAUCGUAUAGAGUCCGACUAGUAGCGAUAAGGUGGCUAGUCGAAUAGAGAACAGUCUAGACCUAUGUUUAAAGCUCCACAUAUAAUCUAAGUGAUAAUGAAGGUAUUAUAACAAAUAACAGUCAGUUGGUGGGUUUGAUAUUAAUCACUCCUUUAAUGAACAUGUAGCAAUGCACUGACCUAUGUUAUAAUACCUGAAGAUAUACGGAUCUAAAGAUUAUAGCUGACAACUAGGUAUAUUAAGAUAAAUAUAAUAAUUUCUUAAUAUAGGUAGUGGAACACUUUAUGACUAAUAAGCCUCUUAAUAGACAAGAGCUUAAUAAUAUAUAUAAUUUUAUAUUUAAAAUAAUAUAAUUAUAAUAUAAUAUUUAUGAAAUAAAGUAGAGAAUGCUGGCACGAGUAACGAAAGAUAGGUUAAGCCUAUCCGCUUAAUACACAAGGUAUCACUGUACAUACGGCCCUUAAGCGUAUAUAUUGAAAAGUAUUAUGUAAUAGGUAAUUUUAUAGUAUAUGAUUAAUAAUCCAUGAAAUAACUAUAAAAUAAUACCGUAAUCAGACCGACCCAGGUGUGUAUAGUAGAACAUAUGAAAGCGAAUGGGAAAAACUCCGGUGAUUGAACUCGGCAAAAAUGACCUCUACGUUCGUCAAUAUGAGGACUUUAUAUAUAAUAAUAUAAAGAUAAAAAUCAAGCUGUCCAACUGUUUACCAAAAACAUAGCGCAAUGCUAAUACAUCCAAUGUAGUUGUAUAUUGCGUGAACUCUGCUCCAUGUCUAAUACUACGUCAUUAUUUAGUUAACGCUAAAUAGACAAUCAUUAGUCAAAUAGCGGGCUUAUCGUGAGGCUCCUAAGGUAGCGAAAUUCCUAGCCUGUUAACUGCAGGCCUGCAUGAAUGAGGUAAUGAGACAGCAACUGUAACCAUCGGAGGCCCAGUGAAACUGAAUUCGCCGUGAAGAUGCGGUGUAUAGGCAGCAUGACAGGAAGACCCCGGCAGCUUUACUGUAUAUCUUAAUUGCUAUGUAUAAUCUAAUUACUUAAGGAGAGAGUAAGGUAAGACGUAAUGUCAUAAAUGAGACACUUACAGUUAUUAUAUAUUAUACUAGCUAACCUAAAAUACUAUAUUAUGUUAUCUUAUAAGGAUCUAUUAUAGAAUAAUAAUAUUUUAUAAUUUAAUUAUUAUAAAAUUAGGAACAGUUAAGGUGGGUCAGUUUAGAUGGGGCGUCGUUCUCAGCUACAAUAUCUGAGUAAGUCCAUAUACAAUCAUUGGAUAAUCAUACUAGAAAAUUAUUUAUAAUUUAUAGUAUAAUAUUAGAAAAGUAACAUGUAUCGUUAAAUUGUAUUGAAAACAAUAUCUUUUUAAUAAUAUUUAUUAUUAUUAAAUAUUUAUAGAUUAUAAACUAUAAUGGGAUAACGAUGCUAUGACUAGUAGACCAACAAGUCAGCUAGACACGCAAGUGAGGCAUAGUGAACACGUAUAUACCUAUUGCAAGGGAUACGGACAACGGAUUAAAGCUACGCCGGGGAUAACAGGCUAAUGUGACGAGAGAGUUGAAAUCGGAAGUCACGCUUGGCACCUCGAUGUCGACUCUCCUCAUCCUAGUGGUUGUAGUCGCUACUAAGGGUUAGACUGUUCGUCUAUUAAAGAGGAACGUGAGUUGGGUUCAGUACGUCGUAAGACAGUACGGUUCUUAUCAGCUGCCUAUCGUUAUGUUUAAGGGAUCUAGAGGUAGUACGCAAGGACCCUUUUGGGCUGACCAAUGGUUAUCACUGGUACUUCAUAUAUAUGAAGUAUAUCAGUAUCGCUAAGUCGGUAACGGAUAAACACUGAAUGCAUCUAAGUGUGAAGCCUACCCUUUUAACAUAAGAAGCUUACAUUUUAUACUAAGGUGAUUAGUAAAUAUAAUAACUAUAUGGUUUUAUAUUUCAUAUAAGCAUGUUCUACAAUA
rfam:Babjeviella inositovora NRRL Y-12698 unplaced genomic scaffold BABINscaffold_34, whole genome shotgun sequence.